rnacentral:rRNA from 1 species
AUGUUGCACCUAGCGCCAAAGAUAUAUCACGGUGGUGUAUUUGGGAUUUCUUAUUUAUAUUAUGAGUAUAACUUGGAGAAGUCGAGCGCCUAUCAGCAAUUUUCUGCAGGAUACCUCCGGUCAUAUGCAUGCUGUCUACCUACCAUAUCUCUAGGAAUACUAAUGGCAUUGCCCAUAGUUGUGCUCAUCAGGUUCUCAAUUCAAGAACAGAACCUGUUUUCUACUGUACUUAUUAUACUCAUGGCAACAGUUCUUGCCCCUUUCUGCAAUCUCCUCGCCUUUCAGCUGCAGGAUUUUGUAAUUCAUGCUGUAUUCUGCUUAUGA